CGUAAAGCGUGGGGAGCAAACGGGAUUAGAUACCCCCGUAGUCCACGCCCUAAACGAUGAAUGCUAGUCGUCGGAAAGCUCGUCUUUUCGGUGAUGCAGUUAACACAUUAAGCAUUCCGCCUGGGGAGUACGGUCGCAAGAUUAAAACUCAAAGGAAUAGACGGGGACCCGCACAAGUGGUGGAGCAUGUGGUUUAAUUCGAAGAUACGCGAAGAACCUUACCUAGCCUUGACAUUGAUUGAAUCUUUCAGAGAUGAGAGAGUGCCUUUCGAGGAACAUGAAAACAGGUGCUGCACGGCUGUCGUCAGCUCGUGUCGUGAGAUGUUGGGUUAAGUCCCGCAACGAGCGCAACCCUCGUCGUUAGUUGCUAACAGUUCGGCUGAGCACUCUAGCGAGACUGCCUUCGCAAGGAGGAGGAAGGUGAGGACGACGUCAAGUCAUCAUGGCCCUUAUGGCUAGGGCUACACACGUGCUACAAUGGGGCGUACAGAGAGUUGCGAUCCCGCGAGGUGGAGCUAAUCUCAUAAAGCGUCUCUCAGUUCGGAUUGAUCUCUGCAACUCGAGAUCAUGAAGCUGGAAUCACUAGUAAUCGUAGAUCA
rnacentral:rRNA from 1 species